rnacentral:rRNA from 1 species
GACGAACGCUGGCGGCGUGCUUAAUACAUGCAAGUCGAACGGAAAGGCGCCGCCUUUGUGGGGUGCUUGUGUGGCGAGCGGGUGAGUAACACGUGAGUAACCUGCACUUGACUUUGGGAUAACUUCAGGAAACUCGGGCUCAUACCGGAUAGGAGCUCCUGCUGCUUUUUGUGGGAUGGAAAGUUUCGGCGGUUGGGGCUGGACUCGCUGGUUAUCAGCUUGUUGGUGGGGUAGUGGAUUACCAAGGUUGUGACGGGUAUCCGGCCUGGGAGGGUGACCGGCCACAUGGGGACUGAGGGACGGCCCAGACUCGUACGGGCGGCAGGAGGGGGGAGGAUGGCACAAUGGACGGGAGCCAGAUGCAGCAACGCCGCGUGCGGGAAGACGGCCUUCGGGUGGGAAACAGAUUUCGCCUGGGACGAACCGAGAGUGACGGUAACGAGUAAAGAAGCACCGGCUAACUACGUG